rnacentral:rRNA from 1 species
UACGAAGGGGGCUAGCGUCGUUCGGAAUUACUGGGCGUAAAGCGCACGUAGGCGGACAUUUAAGUUGGAGGUGAAAGCCUUGGGCUCAACCCAAGAAUUGCCUUUGAUACUGGAUGUCUCGAGACCGGGAGAGGUGAGUGGAAUUCCGAGUGUAGAGGUGAAAUUCGUAGAUAUUCGGAAGAACACCAGUGGCGAAGGCGGCUCACUGGCCCGGUUCUGACGCUGAGGUGCGAAAGCGUGGGGAGCAAACAGG